GACGUAGGGGGCUAGCGUUGUUCGGAUUUACUGGGCGUAAAGGGCGCGUAGGCGGUUUAUCAAGUCAGGUGUGAAAGCCUUGGGCUUAACCUGAGAACUGCGCUUGAUACUGAUAAGCUAGAGGACGAGAGAGGAAAGUGGAAUUCCCAGUGUAGAGGUGAAAUUCGUAGAUAUUGGGAGGAACAUCAGAGGCGAAGGCGGCCAUCUGGACAACUACUGACACUGAGACGCGAAAGCGUGGGUAGCAAACAGG
rnacentral:rRNA from 1 species